UAAGGUGAAACCNCGAAUGGCUCAUUAAAUCAGUUAUGGUUCAUUAGAUUGUACCCACAUUUACUUGGAUAACUGUGGUAAUUCUAGAGCUAAUACAUGCAACACAGAGUCCCGACCAGUGAUGGGAGGGACGCUUUUAUUAGAUCAAAACCAAUCGGUGGCGGGUAGGCUCGCCCAUCCGUCCAUCGUUUAUUUUGGUGACUCUGAAUAACUUUGUGCUGAUCGCACGGUCCUAGCACCGGCGACGCAUCUUUCAAAUGUCUGCCUUAUCAACUGUCGAUGGUAGGUUCUGCGCCUACCAUGGUUGUAACGGGUAACGGGGAAUCAGGGUUCGAUUCCGGAGAGGGAGCCUGAGAA
rnacentral:rRNA from 1 species